UGCAAGUCGUCGAACAUCUUUUAGAUGUGCUAGUGGCGGACGGGUGCGUAACGCGUAAGAACCUACCUUAGGUGAGGGAUAACAUCGGGAAACUGAUGCUAAUACCUCAUACAGCUGAGGAGUGAAAGAUAAAACCGCCGAAAGAGGGGCUUGCGUCUGAUUAGUUAGUUGGUGAGGUAAAGGCUUACAAGACCACGAUCAGUAGCUGGUCUGAGAGGAUGAUCAGCCACACUGGAACUGAGACACGUCCAGACUCCUACGGGAGGCAGCAGUGAGGAAUUUUCCACAAUGGGCGAAAGCCUGAUGAGCAAUGCCGCGUGAAGGAAGACGGUCUGUGGAUCUUAAACUUCUUUUAUCAGAGAAGAUCAAUGACGGUAUCUGAUGAAUAAGCUCCGGCUAACCCUGUGCCAGCAGCCGCGGUAA
rnacentral:rRNA from 1 species